rnacentral:rRNA from 1 species
GACGGAGGGGGCAAGCGUUGUCCGGACUCACUGGGCGUAAAGGGUGCGUAGGCGGUCUGGUGCGUCGGCGCUGAAAUCUGUGGGCUUAACCCACAGGCGCGUGUCGAUACGAUGAGACUUGAGGCUCUGAGAGGGUGGCGGAACUCCUGGUGUAGUGGUGAAAUGCGUAGAGAUCAGGAAGAACACCCGUGGCGCAAGCGGCCACCUGGCAGAGUUCUGACGCUGAGGCACGAAAGCGUGGGGAGCGAAC